UACGUAGGGGGCAAGCGUUGUCCGGAUUUAUUGGGCGUAAAGAGCGUGUAGGCGGCCUGACAGGUCUGCUGUGAAAACUCGAGGCUCAACCUCGAGAUGUCGGCGGAAACCGUCUGGCUAGAGUCCGGAAGAGGAGAGUGGAAUUCCUGGUGUAGCGGUGAAAUGCGCAGAUAUCAGGAAGAACACCUAUGGCGAAGGCAGCUCUCUGGGACGGUACUGAGCUGAGACGCGAAAGCGUGGGGAGCGAACAGG
rnacentral:rRNA from 1 species